rfam:Nicotiana attenuata strain TT scaffold02298, whole genome shotgun sequence.
AUUCCACUAUGUUGACACUUUCUAACAAUUUCCUUAAACCUCUACCAUGCUUCAAAAAUAGUUUAUUUAUCUUUCUGGCAGAUGUUAUGGAUUUCUCUUCUAAACUU